ACACGAGUUUUUCAUACAGGGGAC
rnacentral:siRNA from 1 species